GAAAAGGGAGAUUCACGGUACCAUUGAAGUCAGUGGGACUACUGACAUGAGUUAGCACUCUUCAGAGCGACUGAGCCUGUUCAAUCCAACGACUGGUGGUUCUGUGUACUGUGAAACAUCUGGAGACAGAUCUGCAGAAGUGCUGAGUGCUCACAACUACAACUAAAGUCUAUUGGAGCUGUGCUGUAAAUAUGUAAAUUGUUAUAAAAAUGCUAACUAUUCUGAAAAAUCAGGUCUGAGCUGUCACAAGUAGGACACUCAAAAUUAGUGGACACUUGAUAAUUUUGACCUUAAUCAAUUUGUAUCUCAGUUCCCCAGCUAUAAAAGGGGAUAAUACCACCCCUUCCCACAGAGGGUUUUGUGAAGAGAAAUUCUUUAAUAUUAGUGAAGCAUUCAGAUACUAUGGUGAAAGCACUACAGAAACACCCAGUGCAGGUUUGGAUAGUAUGUGGUAAAUAAGGCUUGAGGCUACACACUGGAAGUGAAGAUUAAAAAGAAAUAUUGAAUAACGAUGAUCUCAUUCACUGAAGGAGGCAGGGAUCCUGUGAAAAAAUAAUUGUGAUCAUGUAAUUAAAGAUUGUAUCAUAAUAUAUAUGCACAAAGAGGGCCGAAUUAAGGUUGCACAAGCAACCUUAAUUCUGGUAUUUCCGAACUUUUGAGUGUUUGACUUUGUAACCUUAAAAUUCUUUUCAUUGAGGGGUUUUUGUUUGUUUUGUUUUUGGAUGUAGCAUUUCUAACUGCUACUUCCCUAUUAUUUAUUUAAGAAAACAUUUGGAUUGCUUUAGAUACAUUAUGAAGUUAAUUAAAUAAAAUUAAGGCUAAUUAAGUGUCAUAAAACAUGGCAUAAACUUGUUAAUGUCAAAGGAGAUAUUUAAAAACUACUGUCAUGAUGUGUAAAUUUGACACAUCAGUGGUUUUUUCCUAAGUUUAUGUAGUAAAUAACUAAUUUUUUUUAAAUCCAAGGUUCUGUCAAUAUGAUCUAAGA